rnacentral:miRNA from 1 species
CGGCCCCACGCACCAGGGUAAG